GCCCUAGUAACGGCGAGUGAAGCGGCAAUAGCUCAAAUUUGAAAUCUGGCUCCUUUUAGGGGUCCGAGUUGUAAUUUGCAGAGGGUGCUUUGGCGUUGGUAGCGGUCUAAGUUCCUUGGAACAGGACAUCGCAGAGGGUGAGAAUCCCGUUUGUGGUCGCAUGCCUUCGCCGUGUAAAGCCCCUUCGACGAGUCGAGUUGUUUGGGAAUGCAGCUCUAAAUGGGAGGUAAAUUUCUUCUAAAGCUAAAUACUGGCCAGAGACCGAUAGCGCACAAGUAGAGUGAUCGAAAGAUGAAAAGCACUUUGGAAAGAGAGUCAAACAGCACGUGAAAUUGUUGAAAGGGAAGCGCUUGCAGUCAGACUUGCCCGUAGUUGCUCACCUAGGCUUUUGCCUGGGGCAUUCUUCUGCGGGCAGGCCAGCAUCAGUUUGGGCGGUCGGAUAAAGGUCUCUGUCAUGUAGCUUCCUUCGGGAAGAACUUAUAGGGGAGACGAAAUGCGACCAGCCUGGACUGAGGUCCGCGCUUCGGCUAGGAUGCUGGCGUAAUGGCUGUAAGCGGCCCGUCUUGAAACACGGACCAAGGAGUCUAACAUCUAUGCGAGUGUUUGGGUGUCAAGCCCGAGCGCGUAAUGAAAGUGAACGGAGGUGGGAACCCUUUGGGUGCACCAUCGACCGAUCCUGAUGUCUUCGGAUGGAUUUGAGUAAGAGCAUAGCUGUUGGGACCCGAAAGAUGGUGAACUAUGCUUGAAUAGGGUGAAGCCAGAGGAAACUCUGGUGGAGGCUCGCAGCGGUUCUGACGUGCAAAUCGAUCGUCAAAUUUGGGCAUAGGGGCGAA
rnacentral:rRNA from 1 species